rnacentral:rRNA from 1 species
AUUGAACGCUGGCGGCAGGCUUAACACAUGCAAGUCGAGCGAGCGGCGGACGGGUGAGUAAUGUCUGGGAAACUGCCUGAUGGAGGGGGAUAACUACUGGAAACGGUAGCUAAUACCGCAUACCCUCAGAUGUGCCCAGAUGGGAUUAGCUGGUAGGUGGGGUAAUGGCUCACCUAGGCGACGAUCCCUAGCUGGUCUGAGAGGAUGACUAGCCACACUUGAACGUAGACACGUUCCAGACUCCGACGGGAGGCAGCAGUGGGGAAGAUGGCACAAUGGGCGAAAGCCGGAUGCAGCCAUGCCGCGUGUGUGAAGAAGGCCUGCGGGUUGUAAAGCACUUUCAGCGAGGAGGCGUUACUCGCAGAAGAAGCACCGGCUAACUCCGUGCCAGCAGCCGCGGUAAUAC